AUGAACGCUGGCGGCGUGCUUAACACAUGCAAGUCGAGCGAAGCACAUAAGUUUGAUUCUUCGGAUGAAGACUUUUGUGACUGAGCGGCGGACGGGUGAGUAACGCGUGGGUAACCUGCCUCAUACAGGGGGAUAACAGUUAGAAAUGGCUGCUAAUACCGCAUAAGACCACAGUACUGCAUGGUACAGUGGUAAAAACUCCGGUGGUAUGAGAUGGACCCGCGUCUGAUUAGGUAGUUGGUGAGGUAACGGCCCACCAAGCCGACGAUCAGUAGCCGACCUGAGAGGGUGACCGGCCACAUUGGGACUGAGACACGGCCCAGACUCCUACGGGAGGCAGCAGUGGGGAAUAUUGCACAAUGGGCGAAAGCCUGAUGCAGCGACGCCGCGUGAAGGAUGAAGUAUUUCGGUAUGUAAACUUCUAUCAGCAGGGAAGAAAAUGACGGUACCUGACUAGGAAGCCCCGGCUAACUACGUGCCAGCAGCCGCGGUAAUACGUAGGGGGCAAGCGUUAUCCGGAUUUACUGGGUGUAAAGGGAGCGUAGACGGCUGUGCAAGUCUGAAGUGAAAGGCAUGGGCUCAACCUAUGGACUGCUUUGGAAACUGUGCAGCUAGAGUGUCGGAGAGGUAAGUGGAAUUCCUAGUGUAGCGGUGAAAUGCGUAGAUAUUAGGAGGAACACCAGUGGCGAAGGCGGCUUACUGGACGAUGACUGACGUUGAGGCUCGAAAGCGUGGGGAGCAAACAGGAUUAGAUACCCUGGUAGUCCACGCCGUAAACGAUGACUGCUAGGUGUCGGGUAGCAAAGCUAUUCGGUGCCGCAGCUAACGCAAUAAGCAGUCCACCUGGGGAGUACGUUCGCAAGAAUGAAACUCAAAGGAAUUGACGGGGGCCCGCACAAGCGGUGGAGUAUGUGGUUUAAUUCGACGCAACGCGAAGAACCUUACCAGGGCUUGACAUAUAAGUGAAUAAUUAAGAGAUUAGUUAGCUCUUCGGAGCACUUAUACAGGUGGUGCAUGGUUGUCGUCAGCUCGUGUCGUGAGAUGUUGGGUUAAGUCCCGCAACGAGCGCAACCCUUAUCUUCAGUAGCUAGCAUUAAGGAUGGGCACUCUGGAGAGACUGCCAGGGAUAACCUGGAGGAAGGUGGGGAUGACGUCAAAUCAUCAUGCCCCUUAUGACCAGGGCUACACACGUGCUACAAUGGCGUAAACAAAGGGAAGCAGAGCCGCGAGGCCGAGCAAAUCUCAAAAAUAACGUCUCAGUUCGGAUUGUAGUCUGCAACUCGACUACAUGAAGCUGGAAUCGCUAGUAAUCGCAGAUCAGAAUGCUGCGGUGAAUACGUUCCCGGGUCUUGUACACACCGCCCGUCACACCAUGGGAGUCAGUAACGCCCGAAGUCAGUGACCCAACCGAAAGGAGGGAGCUGCCGAAGGUGGGACCGAUAACUGGGGUG
rnacentral:rRNA from 1 species